AUGAGUUAAGUAUAAACCCCUUUACAAGUAUCAAUUGGAGGGCAAGUCUGGUGCCAGCAGCCGCGGUAAUUCCAGCUCCAAUAGCGUAUAUUAAAGUUGUUGCAGUUAAAAAGCUCGUAGUUGGAUUUCUGUUAAUAAUUUCAUAGUGUAUUUAACAUAUAUUAUAUGAUAUUAACAUAAUUCAUAUUACUAUUUUUAGUAUAUGAAAUUUUACUUUGAGAAAAUUAGAGUGCUUAAAGCAGGCAUAUGCCUUGAAUACUCCAGCAUGGAAUAAUAUAAAAGAUUUUUAUCUUUUUAUUGGUUCUAAGAUAAAAAUAAUGAUUAAUAGGAACAGUUGGGGGCAUUUGUAUUUAACAGUCAGAGGUGAAAUUCUUAGAUUUGUUAAAGACAAACUAGUGCGAAAGCAUUUGCCAAGGAUGUUUUCAUUAAUCAAGAACGAAAGUUAGGGGAUCGAAGACGAUCAGAUACCGUCGUAGU
rnacentral:rRNA from 1 species